AGGGUGUAAACGCUGCAGACUUGGUGUUGGAAAUCCUUCGAGGGUAUUCAGUGCCGGAGAGAAGUUGUUAAGUCUGCUACUUGGGGAGUACGUCCGCAAGGAUGAAACUUAAAGGAAUUGGCGGGGGAGCACCGCAACGGGAGGAGCGUGCGGUUUAAUUGGAUUCAACACCGGAAAACUCACCAGGGGAGACUGUUACAUGAAACCCAGACUAAUGAUCUUGGUUGAUUUCAGAGAGGAGGUGCAUGGCGUCAGUGACU
rnacentral:rRNA from 1 species